GACGAACGUUGGCGGCGUGCUUAACACAUGCAAGUCGAACGGAAAGGCCCUGCUUUUGUGGGGUGCUCGAGUGGCGAACGGGUGAGUAACACGUGAGUAACCUGCCCUUGACUUUGGGAUAACUUCAGGAAACUGGGGCUAAUACCGGAUAGGAGCUCCUGCUGCAUGGUGGGGGUUGGAAAGUUUCGGCGGUUGGGGAUGGACUCGCGGCUUAUCAGCUUGUUGGUGGGGUAGUGGCUUACCAAGGCUUUGACGGGUAGCCGGCCUGAGAGGGUGACCGGCCACAUUGGGACUGAGAUACGGCCCAGACUCCUACGGGAGGCAGCAGUGGGGAAUAUUGCACAAUGGGCGGAAGCCUGAUGCAGCAACGCCGCGUGCGGGAUGACGGCCUUCGGGUUGUAAACCGCUUUCGCCUGUGACGAAGCGUGAGUGACGGUAAUGGGUAAAGAAGCACCGGCUAACUACGUGCCAGCAGCCGCGGUGAUACGUAGGGUGCGAGCGUUGUCCGGAUUUAUUGGGCGUAAAGGGCUCGUAGGUGGUUGAUCGCGUCGGAAGUGUAAUCUUGGGGCUUAACCCUGAGCGUGCUUUCGAUACGGGUUGACUUGAGGAAGGUAGGGGAGAAUGGAAUUCCUGGUGGAGCGGUGGAAUGCGCAGAUAUCAGGAGGAACACCAGUGGCGAAGGCGGUUCUCUGGGCCUUUCCUGACGCUGAGGAGCGAAAGCGUGGGGAGCGAACAGGCUUAGAUACCCUGGUAGUCCACGCUGUAAACGGUGGGUACUAGGUGUGGGGUCCAUUCCACGGGUUCCGUGCCGUAGCUAACGCUUUAAGUACCCCGCCUGGGGAGUACGGCCGCAAGGCUAAAACUCAAAGGAAUUGACGGGGCCCCGCACAAGCGGCGGAGCAUGCGGAUUAAUUCGAUGCAACGCGUAGAACCUUACCUGGGUUUGACAUGGAUCGGGAGUGCUCAGAGAUGGGUGUGCCUCUUUUGGGGUCGGUUCACAGGUGGUGCAUGGCUGUCGUCAGCUCGUGUCGUGAGAUGUUGGGUUAAGUCCCGCAACGAGCGCAACCCUUGUUCACUGUUGCCAGCACGUUAUGGUGGGGACUCAGUGGAGACCGCCGGGGUCAACUCGGAGGAAGGUGGGGAUGACGUCAAGUCAUCAUGCCCCUUAUGUCCAGGGCUUCACGCAUGCUACAACGGCUGGUACAGAGAGUGGCGAGCCUGUGAGGGUGAGCGAAUCUCGGAAAGCCGGUCUCAGUUCGGAUUGGGGUCUGCAACUCGACCUCAUGAAGUCGGAGUCGCUAGUAAUCGCAGAUCAGCAACGCUGCGGUGAAUACGUUCCCGGG
rnacentral:rRNA from 1 species